UUCACAGAUGUGAAAGAUACCCAUGACAUGGACUCUGAUGAUCCCCAUACCAUCAGGGCCUUUAGCUAAAACUGAAAGAGACAUAUUCUAUACAAGGCACAACAAUAUUUAUUCCUAAAUCAUGUAAACUGAGGGCACUUUAUUGCAUUUAGAAAGUUGAAUGUACUUUUCAAAUGUUUUUUUAAAAGUCUCAUCUUUCCCCCUGUUUAACUGUCAGUCUGCUAGAACCUCCUCUCAAAUCUAGAUAACAUUCCUGCUCCCGGUCUGGUGUUUUGUUGAUUGGCCAACAUCUUCAAUCCACGUUAAUAUCUGCAGCUCUGCUGUUGAUGUUAAAAUUCUGGUUUAAAGAAAAGGAACCAGAGUCCAAAUGUGAUGAACUAUUUAUUUUAUUAUUCACUGACUUAUUUUCCAGAAGCUACUGAGUCCACAGAGUUUUAACAACAGUAAAAUACUGCCUUUUGGCUUAAUCGGCUGUAGCUGGCCAGUAUUUGACCAAAAUACUUGGAACAGUAUUACUACAAGUAUUAAUACUUGGUCUUGCAACAGCUGAUCAAUCACGCUGUUCCAGUUCAGCAGCUCCUAUUGCUUGUAUUGAGAGGAGAGAGUGCGCAUGUAUAACUUUAUAACAGGGGUCUGAGGUUGUGCUGUGGACCACAAACAAGUCAUAGAUCAGUACAUUUAGACAAACUCUACAUUUUUAUUGUAGAUUAUUUCUGAGUUGGUGAAAAAAUAUAAAACACUUUUAAAAAAAAUCUGACUUAUUAAAAAAAAAAUUAUACAGCUUUAGUCUGCCUUUCUCCUUGUUGGGAGUGGUGGUUCAGCGCCCUAACACCGCUAUUGACCUGUUGCCACUGCUGUUGUUUUGGAGCUGAUUUUCCAUUAUUGCAGAAGUUCUUCAGUGUUCCCCUGUUGUCUCUGUCCCAGCUGAGAUGUUUUGUCGGUGUCUUAAUUAAAUGAGAGAGUAUUUUUCAUAGUAUUAAAACAUUUUCUAACAUUUGAUUUGUUGUCUUUGAAAAUAUUUCAUUAAUUACAGGGAUUUAACAAUUUGCAAAGUCUGUCUUUCCCAACAUUUGAUAAUUUCCCCAACAUCUUUUAAAAUGGAGUUGUACAACAUUAUAUGUACACUACAGGCCAAAAGUUUGGAAGCAAGGCCAUUACAGGCCAAACAUUUGGGAGUAACUUCAAGUUUUUGUUCACAAUGCUUUUUUUUUUAAUCCAGCAUGAGUUUUAUGUAUUUUGGGAUGUAUUUACUCCGUGAUCAGAUGUUACUUUCAUGGAAAGGCACGAUUUUACUCCAUUUACCUUUAGAUAUAUGUAAGGUAGAUGCUGAGUUGCGCCACUAGGUGUCGCUGCACAUUAAAACAAGAGUUUACCAUUGAGAAUUGCCUUUUGUCCCUCUGACACACCGUAGGGGUUGAUAUCGCGGGUGUAAUGAGCAUUUCCUUUAGAGUUCUGAUAUCAACCUUGUAGGUAAGUCACGUUAGUUUCAUGGGAAGAUAAAGUACGAAAUAUUAAGCAUAUAAGCUGUUAUAAGUUUGUUUUGAUGAGCUAUUUUGAUGACUGAAACAUUAAGCACUUGAUAGCUGUGUAGUUUGUUGAGCUAACUACUUUAUAUUUUUGGUAAAAUCUACGUUUGGAAUACGAGUGUAAUAGCGCUAACUCGAAUGAGAUGUAGCAUUGUAAUACACUUUUCUAUUUGAAGUUUACUGAGAGUUCUGAUAUCAACCUUGUAGACCCCUGUGUUGUGAAUAAACCAACGGUAUUGCCACGAUCCCGAACCCACCUGUGUCCGUGUGCAUCUCCUUACCGGCUGCCGCUGCACCCCCCGCCAGAGGUCCAUUUCACACAUAAGCAGACACAACGCAGAGUAGCCUAGCUGUGGAGGUGUUGGAGAGCCGGCAGGCGCGCGCGAGAUACAGAGAGAGGGCUACAACUUUGGUGCCGUGACCCGGAUCGUGGUGUUGCCUUACCGAAGAGGGAAUUCUACAACCAGGCUUGUAUUGAACAUUGAACCGUGAACUUUUCCUGGAGCUGACGGACAUUUGCAACUUUUUUUUUUUUUCAUGGUUCUGAAGCAACGUUACCGUCCCAGCUAUAUCCUUUAGAGACUGUUGUGAAUACGAAUUACUACUGCUAUUGCAUUUUGAAUAUUUUUCUAAUGGGUAAACUGAAUUUUGAGUGGAAAUUAAUGGUAAACUGAAGCUAUUUAAAGCUAUUUGAUAUUCGAGGAUAUUUUUCUGUUUGUUUCAAGACUCAUUUAAGCUUGUGUAUUCAGCUAACUGAUAUUUAGUGACAUUGUUGAGUUGAACAUUUAAGUGAACUGACUAAGUAAUUAAGUUUAAUGGCCUAUUAAGUUAAGUUUUUAGACAUAGCUGAUAUUUUUUGGUUACUCUGGUAAUACUGAAAGACAUAUUACACUGCAUUACACACAGACAGUAUUGAAAUACUUUAUUUGCACACAGUAAUUGCAUAUUUCAGACACACACAUUGCGUUGUUACGGCAACAUUUAUUUUGCAUUUCACAUAAAACAUAUAGCAAGAUGACACAGAAUUACACUGAUUCAGCACUUGAGCUGCAAAGUCCCUCCACUGUGACGCCCAGCCUCUUACCUCCAGCUGGGCCUGAAGCAAGUGGUUCAAUGCCCCCUUUGCAACGACACGCUUUCCCAUCCUCCAUGUAUUCAGCUUAUGUGGCUCAGUACAUCACGCCAGUCCGUCCAUCCAGACAGCCGGGCUCCGGGGCUUCAGGACAGAUACCCCCGCUCUGCCUUGACAUCAGUCCUGUCACCAACCCAAGCAGCCCGACGGAGACACCGGCGAAUGCCUCUGUUCACACCCCCAGCGAGCAUGGACCCACAGCCUCCCUGCCUCCACAAAGCACCCCACACAGUGUUAGCGCUCAGAGGCCAGCGGUUCACCGGCUCCCCAUGCCCUACCCCAGAGCCACCCCCUAUGCUUUCCAGUCUGUUAGACCCAGCCCCCCAGUAUACCUAGGCUAUGCACACUCCACCCCUGCAACCCAAAUGCCUGGGCCACGUUUCCAAAUACCGUUAGCAGCAAGCACAGCUAACCAGCCUGCUGCUAUGGGGCGGACCCCUCAAGUGCAUUUCUGUGAAACAUCUAGUACUGUUCUGGGUUCCAGCCAUAGUGAUUCAGUGCCCCUACCCCCUGCUCAUGGGUAUGCCCCCAACACCACCCCCUAUAGCCCCCCUGUAAUGUCUGAGCAUACUGCUGCUGAUAUUCACCCCAAUCCUGCAACAUUGCCUAGCCUGUACAGUUACCCACAAGCGCCACAUUCACAGACCCCUGUUCAAACUAGAGCCAGUGCAAGCCCCCCAGUGUCAGCCUAUGGUGGUUUCAUGCAAACGCAUCAAGUGAAAAAUGUUCCAGUCUUCACGGGUAAUCCAGACUGCAAGAUUUUAGUGGAGGACUGGGUGCGUGACAUGCAAUAUCUCCUGGAAGCGAUUGAACUCCCCACGCACCUGCGUUUUUCCACGGUGGUGAGGCACCUUGGCGGUGAAGCCCGGAAGUUAAUUCUAAACAUACCCAUCCAUAACCAGAGCCCAGAGAAAGCAUUCGAGGAACUGAGAGCAGAGUAUGGCGACGCACGAGGGUCUUUAGACCCAUUAGCUGACUUCUAUGAGCGGAGCCAAAACCCGGGUGAGUCCGUCUGCUCUUAUGCUAUAGCGCUGGAGUCGAAACUGCGUGCUGUUGAAGAGAAGCAGAGGGGAGGCAAGCCUUUCCCCGACCGUGACAGCAAACUCACCCGCCAGUUCAUGAGAGGGCUCACCGAUGAAGAGGUGUAUAUGAGAAUAGCACCCAUGACACCUAGACUGCUGAGUUUUCGAGAGCUGCAGAAUGAGCUCCGUAACCUGGCAAGAGAAAACAAAAAGUUCCAGUCUCAAAACAAAGGGAAAAAGACUGUUACCCAAGUACAUGUUACACCAGAGGGAGAUAGAAAUGUGAAACCUGAAAAGGUAAACCCCACUUCUGAAUUAUCAGAGUUGACUGAGAUUGUAAAGAGGCUAGCUCUUAAGCAAGAAGAACAAAUGGCCAAGUUGUCCCACCUUGAGCGGAGAAUAGCUUCACCACCCCCUACCCCCAUCCAAGCAGUUCAGCCCCCACGGGCUAGGGCGGCCCCAAGCACAAGCUUCAUCUGUUAUCGGUGUGGUAAGCUCGGCCACACCGCCCGAAUUUGUAGAGCAGUGCUGCCAGCCCCUGCCCCUGCUGGAACCCCCCAACCAAACGCCCCUGCCGUGGGGCCCACACCCCAAUCAGACCAGCCUUUAAACGCUUAAGGCCCAUGGUAGCUGGGGCAACCAUGGGCAUACAGCGAGGCCCCCAUCCACCCACAAGAGACAUUAGCACUGGAAAAGAGGAGACACCUCUAGUCGGGCCCAGGAACGAAGGAGAAGUUGAAGUCAACGGCAUGCAGUGUAGGGCUCUCAUUGACUCUGGCUCCCAGAUAACCAGCAUCACACACAGCUACUGGCAGAGCCACCCUGUCUUGCAGAGACUGAAGCUAAAGCCCUCCAAAGUACCCAUAGAGGGCGCAGCUGGCCAAACUGUGCCCUACCACGGUGUGGUGAAUAUUGACUUGAAAGUUCUUGGAAAAGAGCAUAAAGCUGUGCCUACCUUCGUAGUUCCUGACUCCGACUACCGUUCUUCAGUCCCCCUUCUAGUGGGCACAAAUGUCAUCAGAGCCUCCCGCAGCCACCUCCAAGCGUCAUAUGGCCAGCAGUUCCUCCAUCUGGUGAAAGAGAAGCAUCCAGAGUGGUAAACAGCACUGCUGAAGGUGGGGAGCGCCGAGCAAAGUGAAAUGCAUGAUGUGGUAGGUCCUGCUGUGUACACCGGCCGUAAAGUACGCAUUCCUGCGGGUAAAGAGAUGGAUUUGAGAUGCAAGAUUAAAGAUGGUCCUCGGAGAAAGAUCUACACUGCCCUGAUUGAGAGCCAGGCCUCGGUGCGUCUUCCCCAAGACCUCCUGGUUGCCAAAGUUCUUGUUGAUGUAAAGGGAGGAUGUGCUCCAGUUAGAGUGAUGAACCUGUCCCAGCGUGUCAUAACUAUUAAGCCCCACACAACCCUGGCCAGUGCCGUCCUGAUACACCGCGUUCUGGAGUUUCCUGAGAACGAGGGGGGGGCCUGGGAACAAGGAGGCAUGCCUCAGCCUGGGACAAGUGGUGGCGAGCUGUGGUGUGGACCUAAGUGACGCGGCAGUGGAGACCGAAGAUCAACGCACCAGUCUGGAAACACUGCUAAACAAGAAUGCGGAUGUGUUCUCGCAGCACUCCCUGGACUAUGGCCACACCACAACCAUACAGCACGAGAUCCCACUGGUAGACUCAAGGCCUUUCCGAUUACCCUACCGUAAGAUACCCCCAUCCCAAUGGCAAGACGUGCGGCGCAUGUUAACUGAGAUGGAGGCAACCGGGGUCAUCCGUCCAAGUAAAAGCCCUUAUGCCUCACCAGUGGUCGUCGUGACCAAGAAAGAUGGGUCAUUAAGACUCUGUAUUGACUACAGAAAGCUUAACUCCUGCAGCACCCGAGAUGCGUUUCCUCUACCAAGAAUUGAGGAGGCCUUAGAGUCGUUAGGACAAGCUAAAUACUUCUCCACGCUCGACCUGACCUCCGGUUAUUGGCAAGUGGAGGUAGCGGAACACGACAAGCACAAGACAGCCUUUAGCACUCCCAUGGGGCUUUUCGAGGCCAACAGAAUGCCAUUUGGGCUUCAAAACGCCCCCUCCACAUUCCAGAGGUUAAUGACCUGUUGCUUCGGUGACUUGAACUUUACGCAUCUACUUAUUUAUUUGGACGACAUAAUUAUUUUUUCUUCGACCUUCAGUGAACACCUAGACCGACUGCAGUGUGUCUUCAAUCGGCUUAGAGAGCAUGGCUUGAAGCUUAAGCCGUCAAAGUGCCAGUUCGUGAGGAAGGAAGUGAACUACCUGGGUCAUCUGGUGUCGGCAGACGGCAUCAGGACGGACCCGGAGAAGAUCAGCCGUGUCAAAGACUGGCCGAGGCCUACAGACCGCAGGGAAGUGCUUCAAUUCCUUGGGUUUGCUGGCUACUAUAGACGCUACGUCAAGUCAUACUCCAGUCUAGCUGCACCCUUGUACCGCCUCACCUCGGGAGACCCUAGAAGCAAGAAGAGAGGGGCCCAGAAGAAUCCAGCCCCCGAUCCGACCUUUCUGUGGACUUCUGAGUGUGAGGAGGCAUUCCUGGCGUUGAAAGAGAAGCUGACCAAUGCACCGGUCCUGGGCUAUCCAGAUUACAGCCUGCCCUUCCUGCUGCAGACUGACGCGUCGAGAGAUGGGCUUGGGGCUGUGCUUGCACAGAUCCAGGGUGGAGCAGAGAGAGUUGUCGCUUACGCUAGCAGAGGCUUGACCCCACCUGAGACGAGAUAUCCUGCGCACAAGCUCGAAUUCC
rnacentral:lncRNA from 1 species